rnacentral:rRNA from 1 species
AUACGGAGGGUCCAAGCGUUAUCCGGAAUCAUUGGGUUUAAAGGGUCCGCAGGCGGUCAAUUAAGUCAGAGGUGAAAGCCCAUCGCUCAACGAUGGAACUGCCUUUGAUACUGGUUGACUUGAGUCAUACGGAAGUAGAUAGAAUAAGUAGUGUAGCGGUGAAAUGCAUAGAUAUUACUUAGAAUACCGAUUGCGAAGGCAGUCUACUACGUAUAUACUGACGCUGAGGGACGAAAGCGUGGGGAGCGAACAGGAUUAGAAACCCUAGUAGUCCC